AUUGAACGCUGGCGGCAGGCCUAACACAUGCAAGUAGAGCGGAGCGGCGGACGGGUGAGUAAUGCCUAGGAAUCUGCCUGGUAGUGGGGGAUAACGUCCGGAAACGGGCGCUAAUAGCGAAUACUAUCAGAUGAGCCAAGGUGGGAUUAGCUAGUUGUUGGGGUAAAGGCCUAACAAGGCGACGAUCCGUAACGGGUCUGAGAGGCUGAUCAUUCACACUGGAACCUAGACACGGUCCAGACUCCUACGGGAGGCAGCAGUGGGGAAUAUUGGACAAUGGGCGAAAGCCUGAUCCAGCCAUGCCGCGUGUGUGAAGAAGGUCUGCGGAUUGUAAAGCACUUUAAGUUGGGAGGCGUUACCAACAGAAUAAGCACCGGCUAACUUCGUGCCAGCAGCCGCGGUAAUUC
rnacentral:rRNA from 1 species